UCUCCAAGACCAGGCUUCUCACCCAUUAAGUGGGAUAAGGCCCCCCGCAGAACACGGGAUUGAUAGACCAGACCUAUAAGCACAGUAAUGUGCGCAGGGAACUGGCACUAACCGGCCGAAAACUUACACACAA
rnacentral:rRNA from 1 species